rnacentral:tRNA from 1 species
GGGCCUGUAGCUCAAUGGCAGAGCAGUCGGCUCAUAACCGAUCGGUUUCAGGUUCGAAUCCUGGCAGGCCCA